AACUCGGUGUUUUUCAACACCACCAUUGGUUAAUUAUUGGAUUGU
rfam:Volvox carteri f. nagariensis unplaced genomic scaffold VOLCAscaffold_5, whole genome shotgun sequence.